AGCUCCAGAAAUAGUCAACUAUGAGCCACUGGGACUGGAAGUAGACAUGUGGAGCAUCGGCGUGAUCACCUACAUCUUGUUGAGCGGAGCAUCUCCAUUCCUGGGAGAGACCAAACAGGACACCCUGGGCAACAUCUCAGCUGUAAAUUAUGAGUUUGACGAGGAGUUCUUUGGUCACACCAGUGAGCUGGCCAAGACGUUCAUCAGCCAGCUGCUGGAAAAAGAUAAGAAAAAGAGAUUGACAAUUCAAGAUGCUCUCAAUCAUCCAU